rnacentral:SRP_RNA from 1 species
GGGAGGUCGGCGGCGGACGGGCGCCUCGCCAACCCGGUCAGGUCCGGAAGGAAGCAGCCGCAACGAGUUUCCGCUCGGGUCGUUGUUCGGCCUCCCACC